AUGUUGUUCUGUUCACUUUUACUCAUAUUUGACUUGAUAGGUCUCAGUUCUGAACAGGUAUUAACACCCUACACUGAUGUAGAAGUGGCUUCAGAAAGGGACAGAGUUACUCUCUCUUGUAACUACACCUCUUCUGCUACCACUCUUCUAUGGUAUCGACAAUAUCCAAAAUCAGCACCACAGUUGCUGGUUAUGGAACAUAUGCCUGCAACAACUCCAAGGUUCACUCUAAAUCAUGACAAAAAAGCCAAACGUGUGGAUCUGGAGAUCUCCUCUUCUGAAGUGACAGACUCCGCUCUGUACUACUGCGCCUUGCAGCCCACACUUUUUUAG